rnacentral:lncRNA from 1 species
CGGAGAGGAGAUUAACAUCAAGGAGACCACGUUUGCUAUAGAACGGAGGUGGGGUUGGCCGGGGAGUGGGGGGAAUUAAAGGCAACAAUCGGAUAAAUGCUCGUCUGUCCUCCUCGUCACCAGCACCUUGCUCAGUGAAUUGGAAGAUGGAGAUGGAUGUUAAGGGAGUUUCUCAGUGCCCAGAGCCCAUCCCCCACUCGCAGGGGUCUGGAGGCUGUCAGCAGCAGCAGCAGCAGCAGCAACAGCAGGAUGGGCAGGCAGGGGAAAGUGCAACUGCUAGUGACAGUAAUAAUCCAGAGAAGAGGCAAAACAGUGAGAAAGAAGACAAAAAGGGAACUGCACUGAAAUCUUCUGGAUUUCAUUGAGCAUGCUGAAGAACAGUCAAGGCAAAGUCAUGUAAAUGGUUACACCUUUGACAACUUAUUAUACCGAAGUGAAGACGUGUCAAUGAGGAUUGAGAUCUGGAUUAAUUUAAAGCCUUGCAUGUAGGCCAUGAGGAGUAGCAUUUCCUUGAACAGUGCUGAGGAAGUCUCUCUGAAGAUUCCCUCCCACACCUUCUUGAGCUGACCCAUAUCUUAGCUGGGCUCGAAGCCAAAGUUCUUGUCACUGAAGAAUGCUUUGCUAAAACCUCUCACUUCACAGCACCGUGGAGAGGGAGAGAAGUAAGUAUAUGUCAAGCUUGUUGAGAGUGUAACAGAUAAAUCUCUUUUGGGGGUGGGUGGGUGGGUG